CGGUCCAGACUCCUACGGGAGGCAGCAGUGGGGAAUAUUGCACAAUGGGCGAAAGCCUGAUGCAGCGACGCCGCGUGAGGGAUGACGGCCUUCGGGUUGUAAACCUCUUUCAGUAGGGAAGAAGCGAAAGUGACGGUACCUGCAGAAGAAGCGCCGGCUAACUACGUGCCAGCAGCCGCGGUAA
rnacentral:rRNA from 1 species